rnacentral:rRNA from 1 species
GAUGAACGCUAGCGGCAGGCCUAACACAUGCAAGUCGAGGGGUAACAGGGAGAGCUUGCUCUUUGCUGACGACCGGCGCACGGGUGAGUAACGCGUAUACAAUCUACCUUGUACUGGGGUAUAGCCCAGAGAAAUUUGGAUUAACCCCCCAUAGUACCAUUUAGCAGCAUUGUUUUAUGGUUAAAGGUUACGGUAUAAGAUGAGUAUGCGUCCUAUUAGUUAGUUGGUGAGGUAACGGCUUACCAAGACGACGAUAGGUAGGGGCCCCUGAGAGGGGGAUCCCCCACACUGGUACUGAGACACGGACCAGACUCCUACGGGAGGCAGCAGUGAGGAAUAUUGGACAAUGGAGGUAACUCUGAUCCAGCCAUGCCGCGUGCAGGAAGACUGCCCUAUGGGUUGUAAACUGCUUUUAUACAGGAAGAAUUGCGAUCAUGUGUGAUUGUUUGACGGUACUGUAAGAAUAAGGAUCGGCUAACUCCGUG